CCUACGGGUGGCAGCAGUGAGGAAUAUUGGUCAAUGGACGCAAGUCUGAACCAGCCAUGCCGCGUGCAGGAAGACGGCUCUAUGAGUUGUAAACUGCUUUUGUACGAGGGUAAACGCAGAUACGCGUAUCUGUCUGAAAGUAUCGUACGAAUAAGGAUCGGCUAACUCCGUGCCAGCAGCCGCGGUAAUACGGAGGAUUCAAGCGUUAUCCGGAUUUAUUGGGUUUAAAGGGUGCGUAGGCGGUCGGAUAAGUUAGGGGUGAAAUCCCGAGGCUCAACUUCGGAAUUGCCUCUGAGACGGUGCGGCUAGAGUGUAGUUGCGGUAGGCGGAAUGUAUGGUGUAGCGGUGAAAUGCUUAGAGAUCAUACAGAACACCGAUUGCGAAGGCAGCUUACCAAGCUACGUCUGACGUUGAGGCACGAAAGCGUGGGGAGCAAACAGGAUUAGAUACCCGGGUAGUC
rnacentral:rRNA from 1 species